CAGGGACUGUGCUGUUUUGCCUCACUGUUUAUUCAUUCUAUCCAUUAUUCCUCCUUUUCUGCAAAAUUUAUUGAGCAAUUGCUAUGUGUCAGGUAAUUUUGGUGCGAAGACUGCAAAACUGUAUCAGACAUAAAAAGUAAUUAAAAUAAUUCCACUAAUUGCAAUCCAGUACGAUAAGUCCUCUAAGAGAAGUCUAUACAAAAUAUCUGAAUACUGAGUGAGGGGAAAGAGGGUAAAUUUUUUUCUCUUCUGGUGAAGUAAGAGGGUUUCUAAAAUAAGUAACCUUUGAGCUGCAUCUUUGAUGGUGGUUAAGAACAUAGGCUUUGGAUGGAUAAAUUAUUUUGCUGCUGCUCCUAACCUAUAUGCCCUUGUGCCAGUAACCUAAGCUCUCCAAGACCCACACUCCUCAUCAGAAAAGCAGGAAAUAGAAUACUUACUUCAUAGGAUUGUGGUGAACAUGCAUGAGCUAUAUAAAGCACUUAGCAAGGUGCCUGACAGAAGGUGACCUUAGCUGUUACUAAUUUUAAUCGCUGUGUAUUAUGAUUAUCACCAAGGGACAGAUGAGUGGGAAAGAAGAGGAAAACAUUCUAGAAGACAGCACAGCCUGUGCAAAGGCAUGGGGGCACCUCUUUCCUUCAUGUUACCCUUAGACAUGCAGAGCUACAACAUACAAGAUCUGACCCUGGCCUGGAGGAGGUGGAGGGUGAGAGGGAGGGUACUUGGAUAUUUACAGAGGAGAUGUGUUGCACAGGCUCUUCCAAACCCUGUUUUCAGAGUCCUGACAUUGACUGCCUGGCUAUGCACCCUUAUCCUCCCUUCAUCAGCCUUCACCCAGUGGAUCAUCCCAUUUUCUUCCACAGACUAAUCCCUUCUCCAGCCCCAGUAGACAACAAAUGGAUCAUCUGAUUGAUAUCUCAGUAUUAGGAAAUCAUUAUCAGGCCCCAGAAAAUGAUUUUCUGUUACAGAACUGGGAUUAUUUAUUUAUUUCGGUACCAACGAAUCUAUUUUUCACUCAAUGGAGAUUUUCCAUUUUUGGCCCACAGCAAUAUCCGGAGAGAGAGAGAGAGAGAUUCCUAUAGAAUACAAGACAAGACUAUCACAAUGAGUGCCACAUCAUUGUUAUUCCCCCAAGAUCCUGGAUUCCAGACAGCCCAGUGGAGCACCAUAGAAAGAACUUUCAGGAAGCAGAGAAUGGUUCAGGGAUUCUGAUUUUCCUGAACUUCCUCCUCCCUAUCCACCUCCAAUUAGGAAAAAAGAAGAAAAAAAAGAUUAAACGCGUCCAGAAUGUUAAAAAUCCAGUAGGGAUUUUAAAUGUUCACUAUUACAGCACAUACAUUUAUACACAAGGAGGUCUGAAGGCUUUCUGAUUUCAAUUAAGAUUAUUAUCUCCUUUGAGUGAUGGUUUCUCCUUUUUCCCCCAAAAUUCCCUUUGGCUGAUCUAUUUUAAAAGAGUAUGAGCUAGGGAUAACUAGGCUUAUUUGUAUUGAGUCUACUUUCCCCUCCAGGUCUCUUUGUCUUAAAUUCUGAAGUCCCUUUUCCUAUCCUGCUAAAGGUUAGCAGCUUGAAAUCAAGGACAUGAGUCAUUGUUACUUUUCAUGUGGAAGAUAAGCUCUGUGGCUUUUAUAGCAAAAAGUAUAUACAAUUCUAAAAUUAAAGUGCAAGUCAGAAAGGCCAUUGGGGCUGUGAAAAGUCCUUAUCUAAAUCAGAAGACCAAGGUCAAGUUUGUAUCAUGCCUAUUAGUAGAUGGGUUUCAUUGGUUAAGUUACCAAACCUCUGAGCCUCAGUUUCCUUAUCAAUCAAUCAAAUGAGUGCAAUAAUUCCCGCCCUAUCAUCUGACAAACUAUUGAGAAAUUCUAAUUACAUGCCUAUAAUUUUCAGGUCUUUGUUUUUCAGGUCUUUGUUAAGCAUCAUGCACAUAAACGUUUGUAUUACACUUUCUUUAGCAGUAUUUGAACAUGGUACCUUAUUCAAUGUUCUGAAACAAAUCAUGAAUACUUCCUGGUGUGGUGAUAAUAUCUUCAUAAACUUGUGACACCCGAUGGAAUGUGAGUCGGUUUUGUAAUAGCCUUUAAAAACUUCCCUCAAUACAUAAUAAAGAAUGGUAAAAAAUUUUGGUUGAGGAAACUAAUGAUACAUCCAAAAUAACACAUUCAGUUUUCCAGUGAAGAAUAUUCUCAAAGUAAAAUGAUGUUUAGACUUACUUAAGGGUUCUUAAAACAAGUUAUACAAAGGGAUAGUAUUGAAAUCCAUCUUUGAAUAGAUAUAUACUAGUAAUUAUUUAUGUCGAAGACCCAGGAAAAUACUAUUAAUAGGUGUGAAAUUUAAAUCACACUAAUUAGUACUUUAAAAUAUUAUUCCUUCACAUUAUUUUAAAGAAGCUUUUCCUACAUGUGUGACCUGUUCUGUCAAACACAGCCAUGAAUAUCUAGUAUACUAAAUUGGUCCUAUUCUGACUCCAAUUUUCAAACACUUUUAACAUAGGACUAUAGAGUUCAUAUUUAGAAAGUGUGUGCAUGCCUAUGUGUAUCACUAAUAUGUAGUAUAUGCAUACUAAAUAUGCACAUGGGUAUUUCAAACUCUGUUGGCUUGACUCCAAAUGUUCAGCUAUCGAUGUUAUUCAUGGUAUUUAGAGGUUUUAUUUAUUUAUUUAUUUUUCUUGACUUUCCCACUGGGAGGUGUCUUCUGAUAUUUCAGCCUCUAGCAUCUCAGUCCCAUACAUUCAGCCCUCACUGGGAAGUUUAAUUCCAGGUUACUAAUUUCAGAGCAUCCCAAAGAUGCUGUUUAGCCAGGUAGUGCCUUAAUAUAUCUUAGAAUUAAAAGAAAAUACUUUCUGUCUCUCAGGGCAUUUGAAAGCUCAAACUCUCCUCUUUGAACUUCCCUCUCUCAUUAUAUUGCCAUCACAAAUCUUUGUCCAUCACUAGGUGGUACAACUCCCCCUCCCCUCACCUGCCUCACACACAUAUGACCUACAGUGGAAAACUGAGCUCCAGAUGGUUCAUGGACUUGCCCAAAGUCACCUGUACCAUUGCUGACUUGGAACUUGAAUGUCCAAACCUUCUAAAUCCUCAUCUGCAUUUUUCACAUUAGAGAAUUUUGAUCUCUGACUUCCAACAGUUAUUUCAGGAGAGGAAAAUGCAUGGCUUCACUAUCCAAUGGACUAAAAAAUUGAGUAAGGGAUAGAACAUAUUUUACACACCAACUUGAAAACUUGUCGUAAUGAUGCUCUUCCAGCAUGAAGAAAUUAAAAUUGGCCUUCCUAUUCGUUCUCCUGAAUUGUUCACUGUAACUGAGUGGAGAUAUUUUAGGAGGGUUCUCACUGUGGCUUCUGAAGACCUUUUCAGAAUAAGAUCUUUUUUUCAAAAACACCACACAAAAUACAAUACAAAAAUACAAUACAAAAAUUUUCAAAAAUACAGUAUUAGUUUGAAGCUUGGUAAGUUUUGACUAUUGCCUAUACCUAUGUAACUGCUACCUAAAACAAGAUAUAGAAAUGUUCUAACUUCCCAGAGAGAUUCUUCAUGCCCCUUUCAUUCAGUGUCAUCCCAGACCCCACAAAGGCAAUUCCUUCUGAUGGUAUGUAUGUAUUCUUUAGUGUCUGAUAUUUUUUAGAUUUAUUUAUAUUGUCAUAUGUAUCAGGCCAUUCAUUUUUGUUGUUGAUGAAUAUUUCAUUGUGUGAAUAUGCUGCAAUUUGUUGAUUCAAAUACCUCCUGAUAGUUGUUUUCCGUUUGGGGCUGUUAAGAAUAAGGCUUCCAUAAACUUUCUUGCCUAAGUCUUGCAUGCAUUGAUGUUUUUAUUUCUCUUGUGUACAUAGCUGGGAUUCAAAUUGUUGGCUUAUAGGUUGUAUCUAUGCUUAGUUUAUUUUUUAAAUUGCCAGAGUUUUUGAAGCCUGCCUCUACAAGCAGUGUGUGAGAAGUUUAGCUACUUCAUUACCUCCAAACCAUUUGGUAUUAUCAGUCUUUUUAUUUAUCUCAAUUGGAAAAUAUUAAAUGGCUUUAUAUUAUGGCUUAAACUUGCAUUUACCUAAUAACUGAGUGCCUUAUCUUGAGCUUCUUGUCUAUUCAUGCAUUUUUUUGGUGAUUAUGUGUUUAAGUCUUUUGCCCAUUUAAAAUUGGAUUUUUUUUGUUAUGGCUUUAUAGGAAUACAUCAUGUAUUCUAAAUAUAAUUUAUUUAUCCAAUAUUAUAUAUUGAAAAACUUUUCUUCUUGUCUGUAAUUUGCCAGUUUAUUUUGUUAAUGGUGCUUUUUAAUGAGUGUAUCUUUUUAAUUUUGAUGAAGUCUUAUCCUAUUUGUCUUUUAUGAUUAGUGAUUUUUAUUUGUCUAUUUUUGUCUGACCCAAGAUUAAAAAGGUACUUCCUGUAUUUUCUUCUAGAAGUUUCAUGGUUCCAACUUUCCCAUUUCAGACUCUGUAACAUCUCAAGUUAACUUUUGUGCCUGGAAUGAGUUACAGGUCAAUAAUUAUAUUGUUUAUUUGAGAAUCUAACACCAUUGUUUGAAAAUAAUAUCCUUACCUCAUUCAUUUGACUUGGCACCUGAAUAAGUCAUCUUUAAUACUGGGAAAUGGUAUUGCUGGUCUUUCAUGCAUUUUCUGAGACAUGUAGAUGACUUCAUGGAUACUUAAAAUAUUAUGGGUCUAUCACUGUGCCUUUGCACAUAAACUUUUUUCUGCCCAAGAUGCCAUUCUUCUUAUUGUUUUGUGUUUACUACCCAAAACACAGCUUAGUAGUCUCAGACACCUUCGUUAAUUUUUCCCAUAUGGUGCAACUAAAUGCCUCUGUUGGGCACAGUGAAUUGCUCUAUCAAAAUAUUUGUCUUAUGACUUGCUAAUUUUCUCUUUACUUGACUUUCUCCCCAAGCAGACAGUGAUUUACUUGAAAACAGGUCUGCUUUUUUAUCUCUGUAUCUUUAUUACUCAGCACUGUGACAGGAAAAAAAAAGAUAGCCACUCAAUUUAUGAUUUUUAAUCAAAUUUGAUGGUCCUGAUAUUCCACAGGAGCAAUGUAAGAUAGUAAAAGAAAUCCAUAUACUUUGGAAGGAUAUAAUUUUUAUUUCAAAUAUUGGUUCCGCUACUCACUAGCUGUUUGAAUUGAGGCAAGUUAUUUAAUUUCAAAAUCUUAGUGUAUUAAUCUAUAAUAUGAAGAUGUGUAGAACUUCAUUUGGAAUAUUUACAAUAAAUAAAAGAAAUAGUGUCCAGUACAUACAGUGUAUAGUAGCUGCUAAAUAAAUGGAGUGAGUGUAUUAUUAUUUUAGCAUUAAAAGGGCAAAU
rnacentral:lncRNA from 1 species